rnacentral:rRNA from 1 species
UACGGGGGGGGCAAGCGUUGUUCGGAAUUACUGGGCGUAAAGGGCGCGUAGGCGGCCUGCUAAGUCGGAUGUGAAAUCCCUCGGCUCAACCGAGGAACUGCAUCCGAUACUGGCGGGCUUGAAUUCGGGAGAGGGAUGUGGAAUUCCAGGUGUAGCGGUGAAAUGCGCAGAUAUCAGGAGGAACACCGGUGGCGAAGGCGGGUCUCUGGGCCGAUACUGACGCUGAGGAGCGAAAGCAUGGGGAGCGAACAGG